GCCUAGAUACGCCAACGGGAAGAGCGGUCCGGUUUAAACCCGGAUGAUUGCAGGUUCGAAUCCUGCUCUAGGUA
rnacentral:tRNA from 2 species